rnacentral:misc_RNA from 1 species
UUAAGUUCAGCGGGUAUCCCUACCUGAUCCGAGGUCAAAUUUUGGAAGUGGCUUCUGGAUGCCAAAGAAACAAGUGACCCGAGUUUCGCAAAUGUGCUGCGCUCGAAGCCAAUGUAACCGGCCGCCAAUGCAUUUGAGGCGAGUCCGCACCGAGGCGGGACAGGCGCCCAUCACAAGCAGAGCUUGAGUGUGGAAAUGAC